UUACAACAAUGGCUUUAGUGGCGGACUGGUGAGUAACACGUAAGCAACCUGCCUAUCAGAGGGGAACAACAGUUAGAAAUGACUGCUAAUACCGCAUAUGCCUAAGUACCACAUGGUACAAUAGGGAAAGGAGCAAUCUGCUGAUAGAUGGGCUUGCGUCUGAUUAGAUAGUUGGUGGGGUAACGGCCUACCAAGUCAACGAUCAGUAGCCGGACUGAGAGGUUGAACGGCCACAUUGGGACUGAGAUACGGCCCAGACUCC
rnacentral:rRNA from 1 species